UUUGUAUUACGUGCGGAAAUUGUUACCAUUUAAAUGGUAACAAUUUCCGCACGUAAUACUUA
rnacentral:miRNA from 1 species